rnacentral:miRNA from 1 species
UGAAACUUCUUUAGAAAGGG